CUGGGCUUUUAGUGUACCCAUCACCCAAAUAGUGUGCAUUGUACCCAUUAGGUAAAUUCUCAUCCCUCUAUCUCUUGUUUUUUUUUUUUAGACAGGGUUUC